AUAACGCGCUGGCGGUAUGCUUAACACAUGCAAGUCGAACGGUAACAGCAGAGCUUGCUCUGGCUGACGAGGGCGGACGGGUGAGUAACGCGUGGGAAUCUACCUUAGAGUGGGGGAUAGCCCGGAGAAAUCCGGAUUAAUACCGCAUAAUACUAUGGUUGAAAGGGGGCCUCUUCUUGAAAGCUCUCGCUCUAAGAUGAGCCCGCGUUAGAUUAGCUAGAUGGUGAGGUAAUGGCUCACCAUGGCGACGAUCUAUAGCUGGUCUGAGAGGACGAUCAGCCACACUGGGACUGAGACACGGCCCAGACUCCUACGGGAGGCAGCAGUGGGGAAUAUUGGACAAUGGGCGCAAGCCUGAUCCAGCAAUACCGCGUGUAUGAAGAAGGCCUGAGGGUUGUAAAGUACUUUCAAUUGUGACGAAAGAUUGAUGGUUAAUAACCAUCGAUUCUGACAUUAACUUUAGAAGAAGCACCGGCUAACCCUGUGCCAGCAGCCGCGGUAAUACAGGGGGUGCGAGCGUUAAUCGGAAUUACUGGGCGUAAAGCGUACGUAGGCGGAUAUUUAAGUCAGAUGUGAAAGCCCCGGGCUCAACCUGGGAACUGCAUUUGAAACUGGGUAUCUAGAGUUUGGUAGAGGCAGGUAGAAUUCCUAGUGUAGCGGCGAAAUGCGUAGAUAUUAGGAGGAAUACCAGUGGCGAAGGCGGCCUGCUGGACCAAAACUGACGCUGAGGUACGAAAGCGUGGGGAGCAAACGGGAUUAGAUACCCCGGUAGUCCACGCCGUAAACGAUGUCAACUAGUCGUUGGGACCCUUGAGGUCUUAGUGACGCAGCUAACGCGUGAAGUUGACCGCCUGGGGAGUACGCCGCAAGGCUAAAACUCAAAUGAAUGACGG
rnacentral:rRNA from 1 species